UUGAACGCUGGCGGCAGGCCUAACACAUGCGAGUCGAGCGGAUGAAGGGAGCUUGCUCCUGGAUUCAGCGGCGGACGGGUGAGUAAUGCCUAGGAAUCUGCCUGGUAGUGGGGGAUAACGUCCGGAAACGGGCGCUAAUACCGCAUACGUCCUGAGGGAGAAAGUGGGGGAUCUUCGGACCUCACGCUAUCAGAUGAGCCUAGGUCGGAUUAGCUAGUUGGUGGGGUAAAGGCCUACCAAGGCGACGAUCCGUAACUGGUCUGAGAGGAUGAUCAGUCACACUGGAACUGAGACACGGUCCAGACUCCUACAGGAGGCAGCAGUGGGGAAUAUUGGACAAUGGGCGAAAGCCUGAUCCAGCCAUGCCGCGUGUGUGAAGAAGGUCUUCGGAUUGUAAAGCACUUUAAGUUGGGAGGAAGGGCAGUAAGUUAAUACCUUGCUGUUUUGACGUUACCAACAGAAUAAGCACCGGCUAACUUCGUG
rnacentral:rRNA from 1 species